GGUCAAAGUGCGUCGUCCCGGAGGUGCUCUGGAAGGGGGCGCGGCUGCCGCCUCCGAGGUCCUUGAGAUCGUUUUACUGCAAAACGCAACUCUGGUCACGCAGGGACCUGAGCGGACCACCUCGGCACUCUUCAAUUGGCCUCCCAGGACGGACUUCCGGCAAAGCCCCUGUACCUGAGAGGACCAGAAGAUGGUGUCAGAUCCUCGGGAGCUGGAAUUGCUGGCAGUUGUGUGUUGCCUGACAUCAUGAGUACUAGAAAGUUAACUCAGGUAUCUAUCUAUAAGAGCAGUAAGUGCUCUUAACCACUGAGCAGUGUCUCUAACCCAACAUGAUAGAUCUGUAUAUAUAAAUACAUAUAGAUAGGAAAUUAAGUU
rnacentral:lncRNA from 1 species